GUACUAGGCGGCGGAGGCUGCAGCUACCUUUGCGCGCUUGCCUCUAGGACGCCUGGCGCUGCCGAGGUCGGGGGCGGCGCCCUGCUGCCGCUGGGCCUUCCGCGAUUCCACGCAGACCACACCGCCCUCCAGAAACCAUGGGUGUUGCUAGACCCAGCUGGGAUUCUGCCAAGCUCUGGUGCUCAGUCUAAGACAAGGGCUGCCUCCCAGCCCGGCUCGCUCAGCCUGUCAUGGCCACACGCCGCUGCCUCCCGCUGGUGUGGGGACACAGGGCACCCAGCCCCAGCCCUGAAGGGUUAAGCCAGGCCUUCUGGCUCCAUUCCACAGGGACACUACAGGCCCUAGGCUUCUUUCAGAGCAAGAGCAACUGAUGCCAUGGGAGCAACCCCUACCCACCUGUCUACUUGCCUGGCACUGCCUGUUCUGAGACCCAUGCCCUGGGUCCUUCUGCAGGUGCCAACCCUGUGAGCUCUCCCCAUCCCCUGACCUGACGCUGAGAGGCUCUGUCCAUCCCCAUCAUGUGUGAGGUGAUGCCCACAAUCAAUGAGGGGGACCCCCUGGGGCCCCCCCAUGGUGCCGAUGCUGACGCCAACUUUGAGCAACUGAUGGUGAACAUGCUGGAUGAGCGAGAGAAGUUGCUGGAGUCCCUUCGGGAGAGUCAGGAAACUUUGGUAGCUACCCAGAGCCGGCUCCAGGAUGCCCUUCACGAGCGAGACCAGCUCCAGCGCCACCUGAACUCCGCCCUCCCCCAGGAAUUUGCCACUUUAACUCGGGAGCUAAGCAUGUGUCGGGAGCAGCUUCUGGAACGGGAGGAAGAGAUAUCUGAGCUGAAAGCAGAACGGAAUAAUACAAGGCUGCUUCUGGAACAUCUGGAAUGUCUGGUGUCCCGCCAUGAGCGGUCGCUGCGGAUGACGGUGGUAAAGCGCCAGGCCCAGUCCCCUUCGGGUGUCUCCAGUGAGGUGGAGGUGCUGAAGGCCCUUAAGUCAUUAUUUGAGCAUCACAAGGCCCUGGAUGAAAAGGUACGAGAACGGCUCCGGGCAGCUCUAGAGCGGGUCACCACCUUAGAGGAGCAGCUGGCAGGAGCUCACCAGCAGGUAUCUGCCCUGCAGCAGGGGGCAGGAGUUCGAGAUGGAGUGGCAGAAGAAGAAGGGGCCAUGGAGCUGGGACCAAAACGCCUGUGGAAAGAUGACACUGGCCGGGUGGAAGAGCUACAAGGACUCUUGGAGAAGCAGAACUAUGAAUUGAGCCAGGCCCGUGAGCGACUGGUCACCCUGAGUGCAACUGUGACUGAGCUUGAGGAGGACCUGGGCACAGCCCGCCGAGACCUCAUAAAGUCUGAGGAGCUGAGCAGCAAGCAUCAGCGGGACCUCCGAGAGGCUCUCGCUCAGAAGGAGGACAUGGAAGAGCGGAUCACCACACUGGAGAAGCGCUACUUGGCUGCCCAGCGAGAAGCCACAUCCAUCCAUGACCUCAAUGACAAACUAGAGAAUGAGCUGGCUAACAAGGAGUCCCUGCACCGCCAGUGUGAGGAGAAGGCCCGGCACCUGCAGGAGCUCCUGGAAGUGGCUGAGCAGAAGCUGCAGCAGACAAUGCGUAAGGCAGAGACUCUGCCAGAGGUGGAGGCUGAGCUGGCUCAGAGGAUUGCGGCCCUCACCAAGGCUGAGGAACGUCAUGGUAACAUUGAGGAACACCUGCGACAGCUGGAAGGGCAGCUGGAAGAGAAGAACCAGGAGCUGGCAAGGGUACGUCAGCGGGAGAAGAUGAACGAAGACCACAACAAGCGACUGUCAGACACCGUGGACCGUCUGCUCAGUGAGUCCAAUGAGCGCCUGCAGCUCCACCUCAAGGAACGAAUGGCUGCCCUGGAGGAGAAGGGUCGCCUGUCUGAAGAGAUUGAGAAGCUGCGCCAAGAGGUGGACCAACUGAAGGGCCGAGGGGGGCCGUUUGUAGAUGGCAUCCACUCCAGGUCACACGUGGGCAGUGCAUCAGACGUGCGGUUCUCUCUGAGUGCAGCCACACACGCACCCCCGGGUCUGCAUCGGCGCUAUGCGGUGCUGAGGGAAGAGUCUGCCAAGGACUGGAAGGCAUCACCACUGCCAGGGGUGUUGGCCACCACCACCCCUGCCUUUGACAGUGACCCUGAGAUCUCUGAUGUGGAUGAGGACGAACCUGGGGGCUUGGUGGGCACUCAAGUUGAUGUCGUCUCACCUGGUGGCCACUCUGAUGCCCAGACCCUGGCCAUGAUGCUGCAGGAGCAGCUGGAUGCCAUCAACCAGGAGAUCAGGAUGAUCCAGGAGGAGAAAGAGUCCACUGAGCUACGUGCUGAGGAGAUUGAGACCCGUGUGACUAGCGGCAGCAUGGAGGCCCUCAACCUGACACAGCUGCGCAAGCGCGGCUCUAUUCCCACCUCUCUGACCGCCCUCUCCCUGGCCAGUGCAUCUCCUCCACUCAGUGGCCGCUCCACACCCAAGCUCACCUCUCGAAGUGCUGCCCAGGAUCUGGACCGAAUGGGGGUCAUGACCCUGCCCAGCGACCUAAGAAAACAUAGGAGGAAGCUGCUGUCGCCAGUGUCUCGGGAAGAGAACCGAGAGGAUAAAGCCACCAUAAAAUGUGAGACUUCUCCUCCUUCCUCACCCAGGACGCUGCGACUAGAGAAACUUGGCCACCCAGCCCUGAGUCAAGAAGAAGGCAAGAGUGCCUUGGAGGGUCAGGACAGCAACCCCAGCAGCAGCAACAGCAGCCAAGACUCGCUGCACAAAGGUGCCAAGCGCAAGGGCAUCAAGUCAUCCAUUGGCCGUCUGUUUGGGAAGAAGGAGAAGGGCAGGCUGAUCCAGCUGAGCCGGGAUGCCACAGGCCAUGUUCUGCUCACAGACUCCGAGCUCAGUCUUCAGGAACCACUGGUACCUGCCAAGCUUGGGACCCAGGCAGAGAAGGACCGGCGACUGAAAAAGAAACACCAGCUGCUUGAAGAUGCUCGCCGAAAAGGAAUGCCCUUUGCUCAAUGGGAUGGCCCCACGGUGGUCUCCUGGCUGGAGCUCUGGGUAGGAAUGCCUGCCUGGUAUGUGGCGGCCUGUCGGGCCAAUGUCAAGAGUGGUGCCAUCAUGUCCGCCCUGUCGGACACAGAGAUCCAGCGGGAAAUCGGCAUCAGCAAUGCCCUGCACCGGCUCAAGCUCCGCUUGGCCAUCCAGGAGAUGGUGUCACUGACUAGCCCCUCAGCCCCGCCUACCUCCAGGACUUCUUCAGGGAAUGUCUGGGUGACCCAUGAAGAGAUGGAAACUCUGGCAACAUCUACCAAAACAACCCUGGCCUAUGGAGACAUGAAUCACGAGUGGAUUGGAAAUGAAUGGCUGCCCAGCCUGGGGCUCCCUCAGUACCGCAGUUACUUCAUGGAGUGCCUGGUGGAUGCACGCAUGCUGGAUCACCUCACCAAGAAGGACCUGCGGGUUCACCUCAAGAUGGUGGACAGUUUUCAUCGAACCAGUCUUCAGUAUGGCAUCAUGUGUCUGAAGAGGCUGAAUUAUGACCGGAAGGAGCUGGAGAAGAGGCGGGAGGAGAGUCAGCAUGAGAUCAAGGAUGUGCUGGUCUGGACCAAUGACCAGGUGGUUCACUGGGUCCAGUCUAUCGGGCUGAGGGACUAUGCAGGAAAUCUGCAUGAGAGUGGUGUGCAUGGUGCUCUGCUGGCCCUGGAUGAGAACUUCGAUCACAACACCCUGGCCUUGGUUCUGCAAAUCCCCACACAGAACACCCAGGCCCGUCAAGUGAUGGAGAGAGAGUUCAAUAACCUGUUGGCUUUGGGCACAGACAGGAAGUUGGAUGACGGGGAAGAGAAGGUGUUCCGUCGAGCACCCUCCUGGAGGAAACGCUUCCGGCCACGGGAUCACCACAGUGGUGGCAUGCUGGGCACCUCUGCAGAGACCCUCCCAGUGGGCUUCCGUGUAUCCACGCUGGGUCCGCUGCAGCCCCCACCCCCUCCGCCCAAGAAGAUCAUGCCGGAAGCCGGGACGGCGGGGGCGCAGAGACUGGAGCCCUCCACGGUCCGGACCUACUCCUGCUGACCCCCCACCCUCCCGCCCCGGGUCUGACGGGGGUGUCCCCCCGGCUCGGGCUCACUCUCACUAUCUCUACGGACACAUGCUCUCCGCCUUCCGGGACUAGCCAUGGCCCCCAGGGUGGGUGCCCUGGUUUCACAGGCUCAGCCGGCCCUGACCCCUCCUGCUUGUUCCUUUUCUCCCUUGGCUCCCAGCCUCUCCUCUGUGACUUUCCAGUUGCCCGGGAUCUCAGAAUAUGCUCAUCUACUCCCUUGGCAUCCCACUAUCCGAGUCCUACUUCGUGCCCCUUUUGUAAGUCUCUGGUGGAUGUGGCCAAGGUUUCCUGUAUGUGGCGGCACCCAGGUUGAUGGUGCUUGGGAUUCUGUGGGAGGAGAAAAGAGUAACACUGAGUGAGUGUCACCACCUUUCCUCUUCUGGACCUAGUUUGGUCUGGACUCUGGGUUCAUCAGGCUCAUGAUCCCAAGCCAAGGACUGAGAUGGCCCUUCCAAUAAAAGGCCAUUUCGGACUCUGUCCUGCUUGGACUAAUUGGCCUUCUGGUCCCCUCCACUCUGGCUGUGCCAAAUUGUCGGAGUGGUUUUGUACCCCCUUUCACAGUAUCGCCCCUGCCCCUUCCCCAAACCGGUCAACAGUGUCUGUAGCUCCUGCCUCCUGGUCGUGCUUGGGGGCAAUGAGGGGUGAGUACCCGAGUCCCUCCAGGAUACUCCAGGAAGGAAACUGAGGAAGGCUAAGGUGGAAACUCUGAGUCCCAGCUGAUGCAGAAUCCCAAAUAUGUGGGAGAAAUGGACCCCAGAGCUUUGGACUAAGGGCGAAGGCAAGGGAAAAUCUUCAACUCCUUGCCCAGUAGAAGGUAAAGUCAGGGAAACUAGAAGGAAAACAGAUGGCCUUGCUACCUAAGCCCAAAGGGCAGUGGGAAUGGUUCAGCCCCAGCCACAGUGGAGUCUGCUACGGGGCUGAGUGGGUCAGAUCGUGAGCUGUUAUGUCUGCCCUGAAAGGGGGGGGGUCCCUUUAGGGAACCACGUCCCAGGUCCAGGAUCUCUAAUGUGGAUUGAGGCAGUCCUCCCUCUGUGUCCUCAUGCCGUCCAGUCCUCCAUUAGUGUUCUUUGGGGGUCAGCUGUCUACUCCAGAAAUUGUUGAUCUCCUCUCUCCCCACUAUUUUAAUUGCUUUUUCUGGCAGCAUGGUGGGGCAGGACGGAUUGUGAGGAAUGCCAUUCACCUCCUCUUCCAGACCCAUUCCUUAGCCUUAGGAAAUCUCAGGACCUCAUAUCAGAGUGGGUUGAUAGAAGCUGAUACUUAACGGGAGAGGAAAAGACGUGCCUGGGUUGUGUUUGUUGGAGGCAGGCAGGACGGUACCCUCCUGCCCUCCUGUAGGCAAGUGGAGUAACUGGUUUGCCAUCUCAUUCACUGGGAUUCUGAGCAGGGGCUAGGCUGGCAGGUGGAGAAAUGAGCCAGAACUCCCUGCUGGCUCAGUAGGGGAAAGCUUGGCUAAUGGGGUGACUGAAUGGGCUCCCCUGGGCUGGGCAGGAAGCUACCUGUCCUUGGUCCCGUUGUUUCCGCAUCCCUACCAGUCAGGCUGCUGGGGAUGAAGAUGAGAAACAAUUUAGAAUAUGAAUUAGUUAGAGUGCAGAAAAAGCCCAAUCCUGAUGGCUGGAGUUACACAGAAGUACCAGCAUCCUGAGAUGGAAGGAGUUGAGCUUGAACCCCGUCUAACUCCUUCUGGGGACUCUCUAUGGGCUAGCUGUGUGAGAGAGUCAGCCCUGCCCCUCCUCUACCGUGUAACCCUGUCAUGGUUUUCGAUGUCAUAGGUAGCGACUGGGGAUCCAGGUGUUUUCAGGGUCAGCAGGGAGGGUGGACGGGGACUCUGCAUGCAGUGAUGGAAGGCUGCUGUCAUGGUGUACCCUUUGCCUCACAGUUAAAGUAUAUAUGCAUAUAUUUUUUUUUUCUGGAGAGUAACCAGUGACCCAAGCCCUCCUUGCCAGCCUCCUGUGUCUCACCGGGUCCCUUCUCAGUACUGUAUUGGCUCAGUGCUUCAGGAGUGGGUGUGCGAGUGUGUGUGGGUGUGUGUGGGCGUGAGUGGGUGUUUAUGUACCAAUAAACAACCUGGUUUUAA